GGCCUAACACAUGCAAGUCGAGGGGCAGCACAAGGAGCAAUCUGAGGUGGGCGACCGGCGCACGGUGAGUAACACGUAUGCAACCUGCCUGUAAGCGGGGAAUAACCCGUUGAAAGACGGACUAAUACCGCAUAAUACUAAAUUACUGCAUGGUAAUUUAUUUAAACAUUUAUGGCUUACAGAUGGGCAUGCGCAUGAUUAGCUAGUUGGAGAGGUAACGGCUCCCCAAGGCAACGAUCAUUAGGGGUUCUGAGAGGAAGGUCCCCCACACUGGUACUGAGACACGGACCAGACUCCUACGGGAGGCAGCAGUGAGGAAUAUUGGUCAAUGGACGAGAGUCUGAACCAGCCAAGUCGCGUGCAGGAAGAAUGUUCCCUAUGGAUUGUAAACUGCUUUUGCAGGGGAAUAAAGUGCAUCACGUGUGAUGUUUUGUAUGUACUCUGCGAAUAAGGAUCGGCUAACUCCGUGCCAGCAGCGGC
rnacentral:rRNA from 1 species